rnacentral:rRNA from 1 species
GAUGAACGCUGACAGAAUGCUUAACACAUGCAAGUCAACUUGAACUUCGGUUUGGGUGGCGGACGGGUGAGUAACGCGUAAAGAACUUGCCUCACAGAUAGGGACAACAUUUGGAAACGAAUGCUAAUACCUGAUAUUAUGAUUAUAUGGCAUCGUAUAAUUAUGAAAGCUAUAUGCGCUGUGAGAGAGCUUUGCGUCCCAUUAGCUAGUUGGAGAGGUAACGGCUCACCAAGGCGAUGAUGGGUAGCCGGCCUGAGAGGGUGGUCGGCCACAAGGGGACUGAGACACGGCCCUUACUCCUACGGGAGGCAGCAGUGGGGAAUAUUGGACAAUGGACCAAGAGUCUGAUCCAGCAAUUCUGUGUGCACGAUGAAGUUUUUCGGAAUGUAAAGUGCUUUCAGUUGGGAAGAAAAAAAUGACGGUACCAACAGAAGAAGUGACGGCUAAAUACGUG